rnacentral:rRNA from 1 species
AUUGAACGCUGGCGGCAUGCCUUACACAUGCAAGUCGAACGGUAACAGGUCUUCGGAUGCUGACGAGUGGCGAACGGGUGAGUAAUACAUCGGAACGUGCCUAGUAGUGGGGGAUAACUACUCGAAAGAGUGGCUAAUACCGCAUGAGAUCUACGGAUGAAAGCAGGGGAUCGCAAGACCUUGCGCUACUAGAGCGGCGGAUGGCAGAUUAGGUAGUUGGUGGGAUAAAAGCUUACCAAGCCGACGAUCUGUAGCUGGUCUGAGAGGACGAUCAGCCACACUGGGACUGAGACACGGCCCAGACUCCUACGGGAGGCAGCAGUGGGGAAUUUUGGACAAUGGGCGAAAGCCUGAUCCAGCAAUGCCGCGUGCAGGAUGAAGGCCUUCGGGUUGUAAACUGCUUUUGUACGGAACGAAAAGCCCUGGGUUAAUACCCUGGGGUCAUGACGGUACCGUAAGAAUAAGCACCGGCUAACUACGUGCCAGCCGCCGCAGUAA